GACGAACGCUGGCGGCGUGCUUAACACAUGCCAGUCGAACGGGUCUGCCCUGUUUUUUGCGGGGUGGGUCAGUGGCGAACGGGUGAGUAACACGUGAGUAACCUGCCCCUCACUUCUGGAUAACCGCUUGAAAGGGUGGCUAAUACGGGGUGUUCUGGCUGUGCCGCAUGGUGUGGCUGGGAAAGAUUCACUUUUGUGGUGUUUUGGUGGGGGAUGGGCUCGCGGCCUAUCAGCUUGUUGGUGGGGUGAUGGCCUGCCAAGGCUUUGACGGGUAGCCGGCCUGAGAGGGUGGGCGGUCACACUGGGACUGAGAUACGGCCCAGACUCCUGCGGGAGGCAGCAGUGGGGGGUAUUGGACAAUGGGCGGAAGGCUGAUGCAGCGACGUCGCGUGAGGGAUGGAGGCCUUCGGGUUGUGAACCUCUUUCGCCGGUGAAGAAGGUCCUGCUCUUUGUGGUGGGGUUGACGGUAGCCGGGUUAUGAAGCGCCGGCUAACUACGUG
rnacentral:rRNA from 1 species